GCCUGGGUGGCUCAGUGGUUGGUUGAGCAUCUGCCUUCAGCUCAGAUCAUGAUCCUGGUGUCCUGGGAUCGAAUCCCACAUCGGGCU
rnacentral:tRNA from 1 species